AAGAGCACCGAUGCGUUGAGCUAACCGGUACUAAUGAACCGUGAGGCUUAACCUUACAACGCCAAAG
rnacentral:rRNA from 1 species